rnacentral:rRNA from 1 species
CCCAGACUCCUACGGGAGGCAGCAGUGAGGAAUAUUGGUCAAUGGCCGGAAGGCUGAACCAGCCAAGUCGCGUGAGGGACGACUGCCCUAUGGGUUGUAAACCUCUUUUAUAAGGGAAGAAUAAAUGCUACGUGUAGCAUGAUGCCUGUACCUUAUGAAUAAGCAUCGGCUAACUCCGUGCCAGCAGCCGCGGUAAUACGGAGGAUGCGAGCGUUAUCCGGAGUGACUGGGUGUAAAGAGUUGCGUAGGUGGCAUAAUAAGUAGCUAGUGAAAUCUGGUGGCUCAACCAUUCAGACUAUUAGCUAAACUGUUAAGCUCGAGACCGUUAGGGGUAACUGGAAUUUCUAGUGUAGGGUUGAAAUCCGUAGAUAUUAGAAGGAACACCAAUAGCGUAGGCAGGUUACUGGGACGGUUCUGACACUAAGGCACGAAAGCGUAGGGAGCAAACAGGAUUAGAUACCCCUGUA